GCAGACUCUUAGCCUCGAUCCCAGGCCGAGUUUUCGCUUUUAUAACGGUUAGGCGAACAACUGGGCCUGGUACUAGUUGUCUGCGCAUGCGUCAGUCGUUCGUCAGAUUCUGACGAAUGGAUAUUCUCGUUCACUUUCGUGACAUUUAUAUUCGUGUACUAUCGUGUACUAGAAGUCAGUUCCCGUUUUAUCAUUAUUUGGAAUGGCUCUUAGCUGAAGCUUCUCUCUUCUCUGAAGCUUAUUCUGAAGACUGAACAACAAGGGAAGAGGUAUAAAGCUUUGUCAAGCUUGUUAAGGUCAGAUCUUUUUGUGUGGGCCCUAUGGCUAUGCUAUCAAGUCUUGUUCAUGUUUGGCAAGAUCUACCAGUAUGUAGGUAGACUACAGUUUCAUCACUAAUAUGGUGGAUCAAGUGAAGAGUGUGAGCUAGAAAACUUGGUGCUGCCAUUAUCAGCUCGUCGACAAUGACACUAACCUGUUUAAUACGAGAAAUUUAAUAUGUAUAGAUCUACACGUAUUUAAAAUGUCUACUUCUCUGUACAGGAGCAAUGGCUAAUAUCCAGCUAUCCCAACAGUGCUCCUCUUGGCUAUACUAACGGACGAGACUGGACAGUUUGAGGACUGGAGUAUGACCUGCUCAUUCGAGUGUUGCUGGGUAGCUCAGAGACAUCAAGAGAAUCUACUUUUUCUCAAGCAAAAUUUAACUGAGUUACGAGUUGGGGCCUAGAAUCAGAGAAGUCCAGCAGCCUGCUAAAUCUUUUUGAAACGUAAUUUGAAGGCAUUCAAUCAUCCUGAGUUGCCCUGGGUCACUGUAAUUGUGCUGCAAGCACAACUGGCAACUCCCCAGGCCUUUGUGAAGCAGCUCCCUAUGUGCAUCUUUUGUGUACUCACUCUGUGCAUUUUCUGUCUACAAAUUUCCAUUAUUGAUUUAUUAAAUAUUUUUGCCGACCACAAAUAUACAAUGAAAAUUUGACGCAUG